rnacentral:rRNA from 1 species
UACGGAGGGUGCAAGCGUUAUCCGGAUUCACUGGGUUUAAAGGGUGUGUAGGCGGGCUUUUAAGUCAGUGGUGAAAUCUCCGGGCUCAACCCGGAAACUGCCAUUGAUACUAUUAGUCUUGAAUAUUGUUGAGGUAGGCGGAAUAUGUCAUGUAGCGGUGAAAUGCUUAGAUAUGACAUAGAACACCGAUGGCGAAGGCAGCUGGCUAAACAAUUAUUGACGCUGAGGCGCGAAAGCGUGGGGAUCAAACAGG